rnacentral:lncRNA from 1 species
AGACAGCUAAGAGAAGGAUGAGGAUCCUACAAGAUACUAGAAGCUGUGGAAGAGUAUGUUCCCAGGCAUCUGCUUGCAAACUGUCACAAAGAGGCUCGAGGUUUGGGAAACAGUAAGAAUUACACUGGACCAAACAAGUGCACCACAGCCCACUUCACAACACAUGGGAAUUGCAUUUUGUAACAGACUGAACUCAGUAAAGCAUUACAGGAGAUAUUCUGAGCAGUUUACAAAGAAUCAUCAAAGAAGCCUAGAUGACUCUCAACACAACGCUCUCAUCCUUUGCACCAUAAUAAGAGUAAGAAGAAAACUCAUUCCAUAGACCCCUACCCAGCUGUGAGUUACACAGCCACAGACUGACAGAGAAGUCAGUGCAUAAGCAGAGGCUGUCAACAAUGUGGGGAAAGUGUAUUAAGAAAUUCACCAUGAAGGAAAUCGUAAAGGGAAGAACAAAACCAUUAUUCUGAGCUGGAAACGCUGAAAACCUAAACCAGGAGACAACUCAGUACCAGCUCCAGACUUUGUGGCUUUCCAAUACCACCGCCUUCUUCCUCUUACCAAGCAUAAAGGAUCAUUCCUUCUCUA